UGCACACACACACACACACACACACACACACACACACACACGAUAUUGAGAUAAAGACACCACACUGAGUUAUCAUAAGUUGUCCAAACUUAAAGUGUCAACACCACUCCAAAUAAAGGAAAGUCAAAAGUUUUCAAAAAUGUUUUGAAGCCAGUAUAGUACUCUGUCCCUUUAUUUUGUUUCCUGCACACUCAACCAUGGUUUUUCCUUCCUCAAUUGCAUUCGUUUCCCAGUACUACAUUUACUCUAAACAACAAUACAGUUGAAGAGUUCUAAGGAGCAUACCACAGAGCACCUUUGCACACCCAUGUUUAUUGAUGUGGUAGACACAGCAGUCAAGUUAUGGAAGCUGCCACGAUAUUCUCCAACAGGUGCUUUUAAAUUCUCAUCACAUACACAUGCGAUACAUGGGGAGAACGCAGCCGACUGUGGCAAGAAUGGAGCAAGAAUGACUUAGAGUUUCCAGUGGAGUCCUUGUUUUCCUCUGAAAUCCAAAGGGCCUUGCUUCCACUGUACAUAUUUCUCUCAGCAUUCUGGCUCUCAAACUAAAUGUGCAUUAAGUUCUGCUUACAAUAUUCCAGGGUUUUCCUAUCCCAAGGUGCGAAGCUCAUCCAUAUCCCGAACCCAAACUAGUUCAGAAAGAUCAAUGUCAGGAUUCUUGGUCUUUCUAGAAAAUAGUGCUCAUGCUCCCUAUGGACCCCUAUGGACCAGGUUCCUGUCACAUAACAAAG